AACCGUGUGGUGAGCGCAAAGCGAACUAUUCUUUCGCCUUUUACUAAAAAAUACCGUGUGCUCUCCACUUCAAACGGCAUAAACCUAUUUUCGGAGGAGUUACUUUCUCUGAAGUUUU
rnacentral:snRNA from 1 species